GUCUGCUGAUUCAAUGAGAUCGUUCCGAACUUCAUUAUCCAAAGUUUCUACAUCGGCUACCAUGCCAUCACUACUAUACAAAUAAAACUUCUUCUAUGGUUUCCAUCAAUCCACAUCCAUUGGUUUCAGGAAGAGUAAGUGAGACUAAUCCCGCCAUUAAUGCUUUAAAAGAUCAUAUUAACACAAUUUCUGACCUGAACAUGAUACAAUACUAACCUAAUCCAGCAAAUACAACAUCAGGCAGCCAUGUCAGGUAAUGUUGCAAAGAUAUCACAAAAGGUGCAAGAAUUCCUCCAAUGCGAGAACAACUUGAAGCAAUUCCAACACCAUUUCCCCUGUAUUUGUAAUCAAAUUAUAAAAACUAAAACCUUGCACAUGGUGUACUGUCCUGCAGUGAAGAUUGUGUAUAGAUGAUAAAAACAUACCUAUCAAGAAUAUAUGUUGAAGUAUCCAAGUUUCAUUAAAAUUGGAAAGACUUCAGCAAUAAACGGAUACAUCACUUCAGUAGCACCUGUUAUUCCAAACCUUCCAGCAAAAGCAAAAGCUAGGCUCAAAGUUUCAAGACCUGAUUGGUUGUUAAUUCCUAAUCACAUAUUAACAUUAAAGUACAAAUAUAUUACCACUAUUUGC